ensembl:lncRNA
UCAAGGUCUUUGGAUACAAGGUUGUUUCAGAGCCUUCCCUGUGGGGAGUACCAACCUGUCCCGUCCCUCGUCCUAAGAUCCUGCAGAGAGGCCAAGGCCAGCCUCCAUGGAAGUCAGGAAACACAGUGGCUGGAAUAUGGACCCAGAAAGUGUGGUGUUGAGUUUUCUUCAAUCUCAUAGACAAGGGCAUCAAGAUAAAGGUGCUGUUCUGCACAAAUAUCCGUUUGCUUAAUCCUCAUCCUAGGAGCACCUCCAUCACCUCCGCUUAAUAGAUGGGGAGAGAGGCUGAAAGGAGCUGCUGGGAAGGGCAGAGCGGGCUGGCACUUGAGCUGAGACCAUUUGGCUUCAGGUGACCCAUCCUGACACAAGGCAUUUUCCCACCUUUGUGACCCCCUGGGUGGGGCUGUUGGGUCCUUUGUCACGGAGCCCCUCACACAAACACCUCAAGGGCUCCAGCGAGGGCUCUGGGGAGGGCAGCAACCCCACCAGAGUCUCUUGCUCCUCCCAGCAGGCAGCUGACAGAUACCACUUCCCUCGCCCUCCCCAUCUGGAAGACAGGAAACUGG